ncrna:[Clostridium] saccharogumia DSM 17460 L31-Firmicutes ribosomal protein leader
CUUUGUAGCAGUAAGGCUAUAAGGCGGAAGGAG